CCCUUAGAGUUUGAUCCUGGCUCAGGACGAACGCUGGCGGCGUGCCUAACACAUGCAAGUCGAACGGAGAUUUUAGCAAUAAAAUCUUAGUGGCGAACGGGUGAGUAACGCGUAGACAACCUACCUUCUAGAUGGGGACAACACUGCGAAAGUGGUGCUAAUACCGAAUGUUGUAUUUUGAAUGCAUAUUUGAAAUACUAAAGGUGGCCUCUAUUUAUAAGCUACCACUAGAAGAUGGGUCUGCGUCUGAUUAGCUAGUUGGUGAGGUAAUGGCUCACCAAGGCGACGAUCAGUAGCCGGUCUGAGAGGAUGAACGGCCACACUGGGACUGAGACACGGCCCAGACUCCUACGGGAGGCAGCAGUGGGGAAUCUUCCGCAAUGGACGAAAGUCUGACGGAGCAACGCCGCGUGAGUGAAGAAGGUUUUCGGAUCGUAAAACUCUGUUUUCAGGGACGAAUGUGCUAUUUGUGAAUAAUGAGUAGUAAUGACGGUACCUGA
rnacentral:rRNA from 1 species